CUAUCCUAACAUUGCAUAAUGAUGUUGCCACUAAAAACGUUGCCUUAGAUGCUUAAAAUUUGAUUAAAGUGGGUGUAUACCAACAUCAUGUAGCGGUGUUGCCAUUGAUACGAAAACUGUUGCCUUAACCAUAAAAAAAUCUCAAUGCCAACAUCUUGCCAACACAUUCGGAGAUGUUGCCUUAAAUAAUGAAAAAUGUUUAAAAAGUUUGGUGGGAAACAAAAAUUCAGCAGCCCGCUCAAAAUGAAAAAUAGCCGCUCAAGAUUAAAAAAAAUAGAAAAAUAAAACAUAUCAACUAAAAACAUAUCUUUCACCCUCAAAACAUAUCACCGUCUCAAAAAAUGUAGGUACGUGAGCUCUCACCCUCUCUCACUAUCUCGCACGUUCUCACCCUCUCUCACCGUCUCGCUCUAACCCUCUCUCACUGUCAUCAUCUCUCGAACGAAGUUUAAUUAGGUUUAUUUUAUGUUGCCUGGAGUUUAAUAGGUGUCGGAGUUGAAGUCGGGGCUUCAGAGCCGCGCGAUUUGGUCGGAAUGGGAGUUGGAGUUUUGCUAUUUGAAUCUUCGAUUGGAGCUUCAAUUUGUUGGUUUGUUGUUUCAAUCAUCAGAAGUACCCAAAAAUCGCUCCUCUAUACCAGUACAAACUAUGUAUACAUGUAGUUGGGGCUGUUCUUGAAGGUUGAGUUUCACCUUUCUCGAGGUGAAUAAAAUGACAAUAUAUGCAAUGAAACAAGCUGUAAAGGAUCUGCUGAAAUUGAAGAUUAUUAAGUGCCAUGGCUCAGAGUAGGAGUCAUGAGGGAAGAAAACAGGAUGUGUAACAUGAGCUCCCUCUUUUUUCUGUCUCAGUUGAGAGUUUAAUUGAGCACCAAGAUGAGUGCAAUAUCCAGGGAAUUUUACCGAAUCAUCAACACAUAAGCUUUCCACAGCAGCAGCAGCAGGUCUGCUCACCUCGUCCAGCUUGCAGCACAAGCCUUUCUAGGGAUGUAAACUUGACUAAUUAGGCCACAUUGUCAAGAUCAUUCUCGAUGCCAGUAACCAAUAAAGUUUAAUCUGUGAAAUUUUAGUGUUGUGGUAAAAUUUCAGUAUAGAUGGAACUUUAGUAUUUUGUGGUAGAAUUAUGUGGAAUUGGUAUUGUGGAGUUUGGAUUUAACUAUGUUAUAGUAUGUUGGUUUAGUGACUA